CUUUGAAAGAGGGGUGCCUCACCUCGUCUGGCGCCUCAGUGCCUUGGCGAGAGAGCCGCUCGCCUUUUGGAACUAUAGUGUGCCUCUCCGGGUACCUUUAAUAACACUGUACCCAACCUCUUCAAUGGGCUGUAGCUAUCCACUAAUGACAUUUGCUUAUUUCAUGUACAUACAAAUAAGUCAGUUACUACACUUGCUUCUUUGUGAAUGUGUUUCUGGGACUUAUAACUACUACCUUGUCGUUGCUGCAGUUUUUUGGUUCUGUGUUAAUUAUUUAUUAUUUGUUAGUUCUUUAUUUUAAUGGAUAAAUUUCAAGGGUUGUCCUUAAAUUUUAAGGGUUGUAACAGAGUCGUCCCUGAACUUGAAAAUGUAGCAUAAAACUCUCUGAAUUUUGAAAUUUUGCACAGUAUAAUCCUUCUAAUCCUCAAUAGCUGGUUUAUGCAAUCCAGAAUAACAGUAACGUGAAUAAUUUUCACUCUUUAGGUGAUAGUGGCAAAGCCAACUAUGAUUUUCUUCACAAAUUAUCAAUAAAAAGAAUUUCAUCCAUAUUAGAUAAUAAUUCACUAGAUGUAUAACAGCUGAUUAGAGGACUCUGCCUUAAAAAAAAAAAA
rnacentral:misc_RNA from 1 species